rnacentral:rRNA from 1 species
CACGUAGGGUGCGAGCGUUGUCCGGAAUUAUUGGGCGUAAAGAGCUCGUAGGCGGUGUGUCGCGUCGGUCGUGAAAACCUGCAGCUUAACUGUGGGCUUGCGGUCGAUACGGGCAUCACUGGAGUUCGGCAGGGGAGACUGGAAUUCCUGGUGUAGCGGUGAAAUGUGUAGAGAUCGGGAGGAACACCGGUGGCGAAGGCGGGUCUCUGGGCAAUUCCUGACGCUGAGGCGCGAAAGCGUGGGGAGCAAACGGG